UGAAAGUAAAGUGAAAUUUAUCAGUUACACAGGCGGGGUAGGGGGCUAGGGAGGUGGGGGGAGGGGGAGGUAUACUGUGAUUCUUGGUGGUGGAAUAUGUGCACUGGUGAAGGGAUGGGUGUUCGAGCAUUGUAUGACUGAGACUUAAACCUGAAAGCUUUGUAACUUUCCACAUGGUGAUUCAAUAAAAGAAUAAAUUAAUAAAAAAAGAAUAAAGGGGAGGCACCGGCCCCUCCUGCUGCUGCUGAGAUGUGACCCCCGGCCCCUCCGCAGCUGCACGAGUGUGAAUCCAGACCCAGCUGAACCAAAUUCAACAUGGGCAGCUACUUGCAGAAUGUCUCCAGCCUGAGAACCAAGCCGCAAUCCCAUGCCCGCCCAGGAGGGGAAAGGGGACUUGGAAUAGACAGAAAUAAAAACAUCUGGAGAAUCCACUUCAGGAUAGCUUACUCAUUGAUUGUGUUAAAAGCUCUUCUCAUAGUCAUAUCCAAAGGGCUGCUUGAUCUUCCAUACAACAUUGCAGCUGUCUUCCUUGUGUCGGUGCCCAACAAAUAGGAAAAUAAAUCUGACAAUAUCUCGGACCUAAUUCUGGAAACAGACACAGCAUCAUAUCUGACUUUAUUAGAUAUGUCAAAGAAAUUAUUGAACUCGCUCAGAUCUAAGACUCAUGUGAAAGAGGGGCAUGUUAGAGAAUUGCACUUGAUGCACAUUAAGUGUGUGAUUAUUUUUUAUCAGUAAAAGAAAUAUUAAAGGA